UACGUAGGGUGCAAGCGUUAUCCGGAAUCAUUGGGUUUAAAGGGUCCGCAGGCGGUUCUAUAAGUCAGUGGUGAAAUCUCUCGGCUCAACCGAGAAACUGCCAUUGAUACUGUAGGACUUGAAUUCGGUCGAAGUGGGCGGAAUAUGACAUGUAGCGGUGAAAUGCUUAGAUAUGUCAUAGAACACCGAUAGCGAAGGCAGCUCACUAGGCCUGGAUUGACGCUCAGGGACGAAAGCGUGGGGAGCAAACAGG
rnacentral:rRNA from 1 species